rnacentral:misc_RNA from 1 species
CCGGCUAACUGUUAACCCUAGCGGCUCUUUGACCGAACAAGGUGUGGUAACGAGGUGCAUGGUCGGUUUAGCGGCGUCCAACGAGCCGACCUGACCCGAACGCCGCGCCAACCCGUUACGGUCUGGCAGGAGAAAAUGUCCGGUGAUGAAGAAAAUCAAUAGAAGAUGUUAGAGGACAGUUGGAGUCUGCGGGUCGGGUCUGGUCCCCACCUGUUGCUUCUGUCCCUCACUGGUCCAAGGUUAAGUAUGACGUCACCAUGACAUCAUAUGGAGUGAAAGUUCAUGGGAUUAUCCGGAUGGAUAACACAGAUCAUCUUCAUCCAAACUGGAAGGCAUUGGCUACUGCCCACAUGAAGUGGAAAGUAUUUGUACAAGCACAACCAGAAAUACCACUUGAGCAAAAGGAAAAACAGAAAAAGAUAUACAUGUCACUUGAUGGGGAAGAUGCCAAAAAGUUUUAUGAGGAAUUAGUUGAGGAUUGUUCUCAUCCCAGUUCUAGUGUUGAUCACAAACAGCUUGAAAUUGGAAAUUCUGAAAGAGCUCCCAACUUAGACAAAGAUGACUGUGAUGAAGUAGAGGAAAACAGCAACCAAAAAUGGUACAGUGGAAAAAAAGAAUGUCCUCAGUCCAUACAUAAGGCUAUGAAAUUUGCUCAGAAUAAUGACUCAGUUAAUUUGAGAGAAAUGGUAACCAAUGGUUUUAAUGUUAAUGCAAAAGAUGAAUAUGGCUGGUCACUUUUGAUGGUUUCAGCAUGUGCUGGUGCCAAGGAUGCAGUGCAAUUAUUACUUGAACACAAAGCAAGAACGGGUGCAAGGGACAGCAAGGGUAACACCGCUAUAUAUUUGGCAACUAUGAAAGGACAUAGAAAAAUUGUGGACAUGUUGAUAAAUUGUAGUAAAAAGAAAGACAGUAAUUACCAGUCACCUGAAGAUGUAAAUGUCGUUCAUUUGAAAAAGAAAUCCUUAACAGAGGAGUUUUUCUGCGACAUUUGCCAAAAGACUAUAAAAGAGAGCACAAAAAUACAGCAUGAGACUUCUAUUGUCCACCAGUUCAAGCUUGGGAUGGGGGCAAAUAAAACCAUGUAUGGCAUUCCUCCGAGCAAUAAAGGUUACCAGCUCCUUGUUAAUCAAGGCUGGGAUACAGAAAAGGGUCUUGGUCCUCAAAGUUCUGGGACCAAAUUUCCUGUAAAAACUGUACUGAAGAGAGACAGGGAAGGUCUAGGAAAUGUUAAAAAAGAUAUUGCAAGAGUCACACACUUUGGACCAGCUGAUACUGAUGCUGUUGAAAGAGUGUGUAAACCAGGUGAAAGAGUUGAACGACAUAAUACACUUAGCCGGAGGGAAAGAAAGAAACAGAAGACAGAAGAUCAAAGAAAAGAGAUCGAAAUAAGGAGAAUGCUGAAUGAACCAGAUUAUUAACAACUUUACUUCCAUAUACAGUACAGUAACUAGAAGUCUCCAGUCAUGAUGCCAGGAUGGUUUGACACCAUGUCCAAGUCUCCAGAAGUAGUGCAGAAAUAUUUAGAGGAGGUUGAAACAGCUGCUGAAGAAGUUAUUAGCGACCGACAGGAGAUUAUCACUCUUGACCGUCGACGAAAUACCAACAGGGAGGCA